rnacentral:misc_RNA from 1 species
GAUGAAGAACGCAGUGAAAUGCGAUACGUAAUGUGAAUUGCAGAUUUCAGUGAAUCAUCGAAUCUUUGAACGCACAUUGCGCCCGCCAGUAUUCUGGCGGGCAUGCCUGUUCGAGCGUCAUUUCAACCAUCAAGCCUUCGCUUGUGUUGGGGCCCCGCGGCUGCCGCGGUCCCCUAAAUCCAGUGGCGGGCUCGUCGUCGUACCGAGCGCAGUAGACAUCCUCGCUCCGGGAACCCGACAGGUGCCGGCCGUGAAACCCCCCACAUCAAGGUUGACCUCGGAUCAGGUAGGAAUACCCGCUAAACUUAAGCAUAUCAAUAAGCGGAGGA